GUUCAUGGCGGCAGAAACCAGCAAAGCAACCAGCACAGAGAGGAGCAAGCCUCUUUCUCUCGCUUAUAUUGUGAGCAGGCUACCCCCGCCCGGGGGCAUGUAGCACUCACACAAUUUCCAUGCCCUCUUCUUGCACAGGCUCAGGAUGAAUACAGAGGCGUCCACAGGCAGCGAGUACAGACGACUGCGGGGUUUCUUGAAAAAGUCUCCCAGUUUCGCUGCUGCCGUGUGAGGUGCAGUGGUUCUAGUUGGAGUGAAAGAGACGUUCAGACACGGCGUGUAUCCCGCAGUCCUGGCUCAUCUGACCAGCUUCCUGCACAGGAAGAAAGGUCCACUUUUGCAACUAACCUUUGAUAUCAUAAAGAACCAGAAAGAUGAGAUCCUGAGGCUUGUUUCAUGAGUGAGUCAAAGUUCGCAGUUUCUGCACAGGUACGCAUUUUUGGAUGGAAGAGGAAUUUAUUUUCUCCUGGAGAAGGAAGUUGUUUUUGAUCCCCCUUUCUGAAGUCUUCAGACAUUUAAUUGUGUUUCACUUAGAAGGGCCGGCUGUGAAGCAGCCCGCCGUGGCAGUGCGUUUGCACUUGGUUGAAGAGUGGCUAAAGAGAGCAACUCAGCUUUUAGUCCAGCGAGAGCCCCGUGCACUCCCCUGCGAUGUGGAGCUGCAGAUUUCCUCAUCCUCUGUGCAGCGCACAGAGCAGAAAGCACCUUGUUUUCCUUGUGGCUAAGGGGGAGGAAAAGUGCUCUUCAGCUCAGAAGAUGGAUGGGCUCUGUCGUACAACUUGCGCUCGGACUUGACUUUGGAUGUACAGGUGAUUUGUAUCAUGAGAAGCUGAAGGUUGAGGCCUCAGGGGGACAUCCCUAAGGGAACUGAACUUUCCUGGCAGAAAGUACCUGCAGGGUGCUGCGGAUUCAGGGAGACCCACCUCUUCUGUGGGACUACCAUGCUUACGAUCCAACCUCGAUGUGCUGCACUCAUGUCCAGCCACACCUGGAGACUUGUGUGGCCGCUUGCUCCCUGGGGUAUUUUCUCUGCCCUGCUGCUUGGGGUCUGGCCUCCCUCCGUUGGGCCCUCUGGCCCCUCCCUACCAGUCUGGCUUUAGUGCACCUGGGGCCCGUGAGUGUCCCCGGCAGCCUUCACCCUCCUCCUCGCCCUCCUUCCACCCUGGAAUGAUCAGUUGUGGUGGGGACAGCAGGGCAGCAGGAAGAGGUGACCUGGGACCACCAGGGCUGGGCCCUCCUGUGGGGCUCUGGCGGUGCUGUGAUUUGUAUCCGGAUGUCCCUCAAAGCUCACGCACUCAUCUGUGGGGCUUCGGGGAGGCGAUUGGGUCAUAGGUGUGUGACAUCACCCGGGGAGGGGUUUGCAGCUGGGGUGGUGUUGGGAGGUGCAGCCUAGUUAGAGGAGCUGGGUGGCUCAGGCGUGGCCCAGAAGGGUCUCUCUCUCU